UACGGAGGAUGCGAGCGUUAUCCGGAUUUAUUGGGUUUAAAGGGUGCGUAGGCGGUAUUUUAAGUUAGUGGUAAAACGUCGGGGCUUCACCUUGAUUGGCCAUUAAAACUGGAGUACUAGAGUACAGACGAGGUAGGCGGAAUAAGUUAAGUAGCGGUGAAAUGCUUAGAUAUAACUUAGAACCCCGAUUGCGAAGGCAGCUUACCAGACUGCGACUGACGCUGAGGCGCGAAAGCGUGGGGAGCAAACAGG
rnacentral:rRNA from 1 species